rnacentral:rRNA from 1 species
GCUCCAAUAGCGUAUAUUAAAGUUGUUGCAGUUAAAAAGCUCGUAGUUGAAUUGGGACCUAGUUUGGGACUACCUAACGGUUUGCUCUCAUAUCAGGGUCCUUCCUUCUGGAAGCCGAUAUGAGCUUAAUUGCUUGUUUGGGAAAUUCCAGGACAUUUACUUUGAAAAAAUUAGAGUGUUCAAAGCAGGCUUACGCUUGA